rnacentral:rRNA from 1 species
UACAGAGGGGGCAAGCGUUGUUCGGAAUUACUGGGCGUAAAGGGCGCGUAGGCGGCGCGACAAGUCACUUGUGAAAUCUCCGGGCUUAACUCGGAACGGUCAAGUGAAACUGUCAUGCUAGAGUGCAGAAGGGGCAAUCGGAAUUCUUGGUGUAGCGGUGAAAUGCGUAGAUAUCAAGAGGAACACCUGAGGUGAAGACGGGUUGCUGGGCUGACACUGACGCUGAGGCGCGAAAGCCAGGGGAGCAAACGGG